rnacentral:rRNA from 1 species
CUUAUGCAGUCGAACGGAAAGGCCUUCGGGGUACUCGAGUGGCGAACGGGUGAGUAACACGUGGGUGAUCUGCCCUGCACUUUGGGAUAAGCCUGGGAAACUGGGUCUAAUACCGAAUAGGACCACGCGCUUCAUGGUGUGUGGUGGAAAGCUUUUGCGGUGUGGGAUGGGCCCGCGGCCUAUCAGCUUGUUGGUGGGGUAAUGGCCUACCAAGGCGACGACGGGUAGCCGGCCUGAGAGGGUGACCGGCCACACUGGGACUGAGAUACGGCCCAGACUCCUACGGGAGGCAGCAGUGGGGAAUAUUGCACAAUGGGCGCAAGCCUGAUGCAGCGACGCCGCGUGAGGGAUGACGGCCUUCGGGUUGUAAACCUCUUUCAAGGGACGAAGCGAAGUGACGGUACCUGAGAAGAAGCACCGGCCAACUACGUGCCAGCAGCCGCGGUAAUACGUAGGGUGCGAGCGUUGUCCGGAAUUACUGGGCGUAAAGAGCUCGUAGGUGGUUUGUCGCGUUGUUCGUGAAAACUCACAGCUUAACUGUGGGCGUGCGGGCGAUACGGGCAGACUAGAGUACUGCAGGGGAGACUGGAAUUCCUGGUGUAGCGGUGGAAUGCGCAGAUAUCAGGAGGAACACCGGUGGCGAAGGCGGGUCUCUGGGCAGUAACUGACGCUGAGGAGCGAAAGCGUGGGGAGCGAACAGGAUUAGAUACCCUGGUAGUCCACGCCGUAAACGGUGGGUACUAGGUGUGGGUUCCUUCCUUGGAUCCGUGCCGUACUAACGCAUUAAGUACCCCGCCUGGGGAGUACGGCCGCAAGGCUAAAACUCAAAGGAUUGACGGGGGCCCCAAGCGGCGGACUGGGAUAUUCAUGCACAAACCUUCUGGGUGAUGGACCGGCAAAUGUCGGUCCUUGGGUGAGGGGCUCUCGG